GAAAAAUAGUCAAUCUAUUUUCAAAUUGAAUUUUUUGCUCCUCUAUUUUCACAUGUUACAAUUUUGGUACCAACAAACUAUAUUUUUACUCUAAAAAUUGUGAUUUUUGGUUAUAAAGGUGAUUUACUGUCUCCAACAUUGAAUCUAAAGAUGAAAUAUCAAAUUUGAGACCAAAAUUCACAAUUUUUUCCCAUUAAAAUUCGCUAAUUUUACAGCAAAAAAGUAAUAAAAAAAUAUUGAGAUAGAACUAAAAUUGCAACAAAUGUGAAAAUAUGGGACUUGGAAAAUUUAAUAUUAAUUAAACAUAUUUUUUUAUGUCAUUUCAUAUUUAUAUAUGCUAGUUCAACUGCUAAUUUUAUCUAUUAUUAUAAAUUCAAUUAAUCAUGAACUAACAUUUACACUAAUACUUGAACUAAUAUGUGUACUGAAUUACUUAUAAUCAUCAAUAAUAUACUAUAAAUUAAUAUUUACAUUAAUAACUCAAGCGGUGCCUAGUUCAUUUGCCAAUUUCAGCUAACUGGUCUAGAAAAUAACUCAAGCAUCCGAAAAUCAGCAGCAGUACCUAGUUCAUUUGCACUUAAGCUCCUGCUACACCAGUACCUAAAGAACAAAUUGUUUCAAACAAGCAUUUUAUCAAACAUCUGGAGUGCAUUAAAAAAAAACAAUUUGNGAUCGCUGGAUUUGAUGGUGGGAAAGGGAACAAUUUUCCAUGGUUUGUUGAGAAGUUCACGAACUGAUUCUACGGAAGAAGAAGACAUUUGAAAAAUGAUGAUGAUAUUAAAGGAUCAAGGUUUAUAGGUUUAGAAAUUGUUGAGUUGAGAAGAGAAAGAGAGAAAUUGUUGAACGUGAUUUUGAGUUGAGAAAGAGAGAUCGAGAGAAAUUUGAUGAAGGAAGGAAGAGAGAGAGUGUGAGAGAAGCUGAUUUGUGAGAAAAGAGAGUCAUGUGAUUGACUUACCAUAGUUUCUUAAUCCUACUCCUUCAUUAAAAUCUAAUGGUCAUAAAUUAUUCUCAUAUUCUCAUAUAACUUUACCAUUCUCAUAAUAUACAUCCUAUAUAUAUAUAUAUAUAUAUAU
rnacentral:lncRNA from 1 species